GCCGGGUGCAGUGACCCAUACCUGUAGUCCCAGCUACUCAGGAGGUUGAGGUGGGAGGAUCACUUGAGCCCAGGAGUUCUAUGCUGUAAUGCACUAUGCCGAUUGGGUGUCCACACUAAGUGCAGCAUCAAUAUGGUGACCUCCUGGGAGUGGGGGACCACCAGGUUGCCUAAGGAGGGGUAAACCUGCCCAGGAUGGAAACGGAGCAGGUCAAAACUCCCGUGCUGAUCAGUAGUGGGAUCAAGCCUGUGAAUAGCCACUGCACUCCAGCCUGGGCAACAUAGCAAGACUCCGUCUCU
rnacentral:SRP_RNA from 1 species